GACGAACGCUGGCGGCGUGCCUAAUACAUGCAAGUUGAGCGCUGAAGGUUGGUACUUGUACCAACUGGGUGAGCAGCGGACGGGUGAGUAACGCGUGGGGAAUCUGCCUUUGAGCGGGGGACAACAUUUGGAAACGAAUGCUAAUACCGCAUAAAAACUUUAAACACAAGUUUUAAGUUUGAAAGAUGCAAUUGCAUCACUCAAAGAUGAUCCCGCGUUGUAUUAGCUAGUUGGUGAGGUAAAGGCUCACCAAGGCGAUGAUACAUAGCCGACCUGAGAGGGUGAUCGGCCACAUUGGGAAUGAGACACGGGCCAAACUCCUACGGGAGGCAGCAGUAGGGAAUUUUCGGCAAUGGACGAAAGUCUGAACGAGCAACGCCGCGUGAGUGAAGAAGGUUUUCGGAUCGUAAAACUCUGUUGGUAGGGAAGAACGUUGGUGAGAGUGGAAAGCUCAUAAAGUGACGGUAACUACCCAGAAAGGGACGGCUAACUACGUG
rnacentral:rRNA from 1 species